UUCGUUGCUCGAACGGUCUCAAGGCCUCCCCGUCGUUGUCUCUGUCUUCCUUCCUUUCUCCAAAUCCGCGAGAGGAAGACGAGAAGAAGAAGAAGAAGAAGAAGAAGAAGAUCAAGACCACCGAGAUGUUGGAGUUGUUAAUCUUGGGAUGCGCCGGCGUGGUGGUCUUCCUCCACUCGGCCAACCUCUUCUUCCGCGCCAUCUCGAAGCGGGCCGUCACGCGAUCCCUCAGCUUCUUGGGAUUCGUCGGAUGAGGGUAGGGCUUGGGUGUGUGGAAUACCUAAUUUGAACUGAUGAAGGCGAAGCGUAUAUUAUCUACAGAUCCCAUCAGUUAUGAUAACUACGAUCGAUUGCUUCGCUUUUACCUUGUAUUGAAAUAUUCUCUAUUAAUUUCUUUUAGGGGAAAUUGUGUAUAUAUGUGUGGGAAUUAUAUAUUUGUAAGUGUCAUUAGAUUGUUAAUUGGAUGAUUCAUCUUGCAUCAAACAAGCAAUGAUAGUGCUACCUGGGUGGAUUGAUAGAAAA